GUCUAACCUCUAGUGUAAACUCCAGACUGCACACAAGGAGCACAGGAUUAACAGCAACACAAUUAGAUUUUCUCGAAAUGAGGAAAGAAAUUUAAUGUGGAUAUCAUCAGCUUUAAACAGUCCACAGGAACGCCAUCACUGAAUCCCCCAUCAUCAACAAACUGAAGGUCACCAUGGACCGGAAACUUAACUGAGUCAGACACGUAAAUACUAUGACAACAAGAGCAAUUCAGAGACUGGGUAUUUUGCAGUGAUGACUCAUCUCCUAACUCUCUAAAGUCUUUCUACCAUCUACAAUGGAAUACUCCCCACUCACCUGGAUGAGUGCAGCUCCAGCAACACUCAAGAAGGUUGACACCAUUCAAGACUAAGUAUUUGACUUGAUCGACACUCCAUCUACCACCUUUAACUCCCUCUACCACUGGUGCACCAUGGCUACAGUUUGCAUUAUCCACAGGGUGCACUGCAGCAACUUGCUAAGGUUUCUUCGAAAGCACCUUCCAAACCCAUGACAUUCACCAGAUAGAAAAAUAAGGGCAGAAAGUACAUGGGAACACACCAUCUGCAAGUUCCCCUCCAAUUCACACACCAUCCUGACUUGGAAUCAUCAUUGCUGGUCAAAAUCCUGGAAUUCCCCAAGCAAUGCCGCUGUGGGUGUACCUACACCACACUGAUUGUAAUGUGAAGUCAACUCACCACAACCUUUGCUGCGAAAUUAAGGAUGAGUAAUAAAUGUUGGCCUUGUCAGUGAGGUUCACGUCCUAUGAACAAAUUUAAAAAAGCUGCUCUAGGUGAUAGUAAGUUCCAUGUUCUAAUCACUUUCUAGGCAAAGAUCUUUCUCUUGAAUUCCUUAUUGGAUUUAAUCGUGUUUCAGUAGAGAUUGAUGUCCAUUUUCAUCCAUAUAUAUAUUCUAUUUGCCUUGAUAUAUUAUAUGUGCACAGUCAUGUCAUGGAGAUAUCUCCUAAGAUUGUGAAUGUUAUGUUCCUAAAUGGUCUGAAGUCCUGUCAUAAUUUUUUACAGACAUGUCAUCUGUGUUAUUUUGUGCAUCUGUUUUCUCAUAUCUAUCAACAUCUAUCUCAGGUUUCUGUCUCUUUAUUGGUCACAUAAUGCUACUUUUUCUAUAAGAAUAACUUGGAUUUAUAUUGCGUCCGAAAUACUUCAUAGAAAAGAUGUUGAGCAGUAAUAAGGAAGACUUUGAAAGACUCUGGAGGUGCAGAGAGAAGGCAGAGAGAUUUAGGGAGUGAAUUCCAGAAAGGACAGUUGACAUUUCUAAAGGUGCUUCUGCUGAUGAUGUGAUGGGAAGUCCAAAGUUGGAAGAUUAGUGCAGUAUUGUCCAAUACAUUAGACACUAUCCACAUGUAGCUAAUUGGGAAUUAAAUGUGACUAAUUUCAUUAUUGAUUAGUGUAGAGUAAUGGGUUAAUGGAUAUGUUAAUGAGACCAAGAUGAUAUUAAUGAUGAAAGAGUGACAUCAGUAGUCAGAUGACUGAGAGGCUCCAAGAGAGCUUGGCGCAGAAUAGUCUGUGUGCUGAAUACCAUGUGCUCAUCCUGAGGUCUUUGUAAAUAGUUACCGGCUAUCUCAAGCCUGUCAUAGGGAAGCAAAGCCUCAUCAAGGUAUGGUAAGACUGAAAAGCAUGGUAUAAUCUCACUAUAGCUCAGCAAUAACAUUGAAACACUUAGUAAAUAAAGGAGCAAUAGACACCCUGUGAUCACAGAACUCAAUGCUAAUACUCAUAUGGUAUAUGUGUAUGUACUUUAAUAUUUUUGUGCAUUUAUUGAUAAAACUUUAAAGCAAAAA